UCCGGUUGAUCCUGCCGGAGGCCACUGCUAUCGGUGUUCGAUUAAGCCAUGCGAGUCGAGAGGUGCAAGACCUCGGCAUACUGCUCAGUAACACGUGGACAACCUACCCUGAGGAGGGGGAUAACCCCGGAAAACUGGGGAUAAUACCCCAUAGGCCAGGGAUGCUGGAAUGCUCCUGGUUGAAAGGUCCGCCGCCUCAGGAUGGGUCUGCGGCCGAUUAGGUUGUUGUUGGGGUAACGGCCCAACAAGCCAUUGAUCGGUACGGGUUGUGGGAGCAAGAGCCCGGAGAUGGAUUUCUGAGACACGAAUCCAGGCCUACGGGGCCGCAGCAGGCGCGAAAACUUUACAAUGCGAGGAAAUCGUGAUAAGGGAACCCCGAGUGCCCGUAAAUUCGGGCUGUCCAUCAGUGUAAAAAACUGGUGAAGAAAGGGCCGGGCAAGACCGGUGCCAGCCGCCGCGGUAAUACCGGCGGCUCGAGUGGUGGCCGCUAUUAUUGGGCUUAAAGCGUCCGUAGCUGGGUUGUUAAGUCUCCUGGGAAAUCCACCGGCUCAACCGGUGGGCGUUCGGGAGAAACUGGCAACCUAGGGACCGGGAGAGGUGAGAGGUACUCCAGGGGUAGGAGUGAAAUCCUGUAAUCCUUGGGGGACCACCUGUGGCGAAGGCGUCUCACUAGAACGGCUCCGACAGUGAGGGACGAAACCUGGGGGAGCAAACCGGAUUAGAUACCCGGGUAGUCCCAGCUGUAAACGAUGCGCGUUAGGUGUAUCGGUGACCACGAGUCACCGAGGUGCCGAAGGGAAACCGUGAAACGUGCCGCCUGGGAAGUACGGUCGCAAGGCUGAAACUUAAAGGAAUUGGCGGGA
rnacentral:rRNA from 1 species